AUUGAACGCUGGCGGAAUGCUUUACACAUGCAAGUCGAACGGUAGAGGGGGCAACCCCUCGAGAGUGGCGAACGGGUGAGUAAUAUAUCGGAACGUGCCCAGUCGUGGGGGAUAACGUAGCGAAAGUUACGCUAAUACCGCAUACGAUCUAAGGAUGAAAGCGGGGGAGCGCAAGACCUCGCGCGAUUGGAGCGGCCGAUAUCAGAUUAGGUAGUUGGUGGGGUAAAGGCCUACCAAGCCGACGAUCUGUAGCUGGUCUGAGAGGACGACCAGCCACACUGGGACUGAGACACGGCCCAGACUCCUACGGGAGGCAGCAGUGGGGAAUUUUGGACAAUGGGCGCAAGCCUGAUCCAGCAAUGCCGCGUGCAGGAUGAAGGCCUUCGGGUUGUAAACUGCUUUUGUACGGAGCGAAAAGGCUCUCUCUAAUACAGGGGGCUCAUGACGGUACCGUAAGAAUAAGCACCGGCUAACUACGUGCCAGCCGCCGCGGUAA
rnacentral:rRNA from 1 species